GACGAACGCUGGCGGCGUGCCUAAUACAUGCAAGUAGAACGCACAGUUUAUACCGUAGCUUGCUACACCAUAGACUGUGAGUUGCGAACGGGUGAGUAACGCGUAGGUAACCUGCCUGGUAGCGGGGGAUAACUAUUGGAAACGAUAGCUGAUACCGCAUAAUAUUGAUUAUUGCAUGAUAAUUGAUUGAAAGAUGCUAUUGCAUCACUACCAGAUGGACCUGCGUUGUAUUAGCUAGUAGGUGAGGUAACGGCUCACCUAGGCGACGAUACAUAGCCGACCUGAGAGGGUGAUCGGCCACACUGGGACUGAGACACGGCCCAGACUCCUACGGGAGGCAGCAGUAGGGAAUCUUCGGCAAUGGACGAAAGUCUGACCGAGCAACGCCGCGUGAGUGAAGAAGGGUUUCGGAUCGUAAAGCUCUGUUGUAAGAGAAGAACGGGUGUGAGAGUGGAAAGUUCACACUGUGACGGUAGCUUACCAGAAAGGGACGGCUAACUACGUG
rnacentral:rRNA from 1 species